UACAGAGGUCCCAAGCGUUGCUCGGAAUCACUGGGCGUAAAGGGUGCGUAGGCGGGUCUUUAAGUCAGGGGUGAAAUCCUGGAGCUCAACUCCAGAACUGCCUUUGAUACUGAGGAUCUUGAGUUCGGGAGAGGUGAGUGGAACUGCGAGUGUAGAGGUGAAAUUCGUAGAUAUUCGCAGGAACACCAGUGGCGAAGGCGGCUCACUGGUCCGAUACUGACGCUGAGGCGCGAAAGCGUGGGGAGCAAACAGG
rnacentral:rRNA from 1 species